AUUAUUUUGCCAUCUAUAAACGUACGUAGAUUUUUUUUUGCUUGUUAAAUUUUCGUUAAUCGGUUUAUAGUAAUUAUCAACCAUGUCGAAAUCGGAAAGAGUUGCGAUGGGCCAAGAUUGGGCAACUAAUAUUGCGAAAGAGGCAGGUUUGCGAAGCCAAAUGGUUUAAAGUAAACGAAAAAAGAUUAAACGAAAUCGCCAACAGUGUUCCAUCGAGAGUUGUGCCUGACGAAAUUAAGGAAGAAAUGAAACAGAACAGAAUACGGGGUUUCAAGAUUUGAAAAAGUAUCCUAGAAUUAAGACGGAGGAGCAGGUACCAGAAUUUACAGGAAACUUGCAAGAGAUAAUGAAACCCGUCGAUCCAGCAGUUAAGAAAUUGAUCUACACUGGUAGUAAUAAAGAUGGUAGACUUAAUUAUCUGCACAAGAGGAUUAAAUUAUUACCGGAAGAUAGAUUUUAUUUUCCCGAAGUUAGUAGCUUUGAGUACGGCUGGAAAAUGUGGAAUUAUGUGAAAACUAUAAAGAAAACCGGAUUUGGAAGACAACAAGUUAUUCAAGACACGUUUUAUAGAAGAAGGGGUGUGGAGAGGGAUCCUGAAUGGUACAAGGAACCAGCUCAUAUCCGCCCUACUUUCUGUAAUUCUUGCAUUUGAAAAUAAAAAUUAAU